CUCAUUUUUCUACUGCUCGUGGUAAGUGGCUUCGUGGUCUUUAUAGCUGUUACUCUUUUGUACUUUGUCUUUUUCUUUUAUUUUCUUUUGAGCGAUUGUGCGAACAUAGCAUAGCACGCACUAUGCCUUCUGUGUUGUAGCUGCCUGGCCAGGGCGACUGGCGGAUAAGGUCUUGUGCGUGGCCUCGAGGCUUAAAAGUAGCAGUGGGGCUUUGUGAAGGACAAAAUGGCGAUGGCGGGCCGUGUAGGUCCCCCUUCCUAUGAUGAGGACCUUUUCACAGACCUGUACUGAGCUCCGUGAGGAUAAAUAACUCUGAGGAGAUGGGCCCUGCAAGCCUCUUGCUUAGCCGUCUGUUCAGAAAAUAGCGUUUUCGAAAUGCCCUGAGUUGACCUAAUGUCUUAUUGGGCUCCUGUCUGCAGGAUUUACGCGCACGUUGGAACCGAAGAGAGCUCUGUUGUUGCAGUAAGUUCUUACGGCCAUUUCUUAAUCUCUGCUCUUUCGUUGAGUGUGUGGAAGUUGCUACGGGGAUGAUUUUACGAACUGAACUCUCUCUUUCUGAUGGAUUAGUGGAGAAAACAGAAAAUUCUGAGUAGCACUGUACUGUACGCAACAAAUGUCAGGGCCCUAUUGAUUUGUCUGAGGUGUUAGUGAAGGGUGUUAUUUUUUCAGAUGUUCAGCCCACAAGAGCUUACUGGUGAAGGAAUGGGACAAGACCCAUCUUUAUGCAAAGCCAGCGUUACAGUAAUGUUCCAGGUAGGUGUACAUGGUUUAUGCUCUUACAGAGGAGACCUUGUAGAUAACCACUCCAUGAUGAACACAAAAUGACAAGCAUAUGGCUGAACUUUCAAGUGAUGUCAUCUUACUACUGAGAAGUGAGAGAGAGGUCUUAAGGGGUCUUUGAAUGACUAUUUUUAGGUACAUAAAAUGCUUUCCUCUGUUGUCUACAGCAUCUCAUAAUCUAUCCUGGGGAAUUCAGCUGCCUCCCAGGGUGAAUACAGGUAUUCCUGAUGACAGUCUGCCUCUAUCUUACAGAGCAGCUUGUUGCUAUAUACCAUUGAAAAGCCUUCAGAGCUGAGAGGUUAGUUGAUAUUUUUUGUUCCUUACAGCUUAUGCCACCAAGUAGGCAGUUUCUAUGAUGAAUCAAACUAGCUCACUAUGACCGACAGUGAAAAUACAUGAACACCUGAGAAACUGGAGAACGCAGGGAGUGGGGGGUAACCAUGUCUGAGGAAUCUUUCACCCACAGCUUUGUUUUUCUUUAGGUACUACUAACCAAUAACCUGCUUGGCUCAAAGGGCCAGCACCUUCUCUCUAAAGCCCAAGAGGAGUUUGAGGUAAAUGGCUUUGCAAUAGUUACCAUCAAUGGCUGCUAUAUAAAAUUUUCUGUGAUUUUUGUGUGUGAUAGCACUGUGGUCUGGGUGAAUGUACACAGACAUAACUGGCUUAACCCAAAGUCUUUGAUCUCCUGAACCACCAGUGAUGAAUUGCUGCUCACCAGUGAUGAGUUGAAUACCGCCCCAGUCUGAUCAAUGUGUGACUGAAAGGUAUUUUCUGAGCUGUGAGCCUGCCUUCCAGUGACAUGUUCUAAAAAUUGCAAGUUAUUUGAGGAGGCUUUACAGCCAAUAGGAAGUUCUUGGGCUAAGUAGUGUUUCCUAUAAAAUGUGCCCUGAAACUUCUUUCUGCCAAGCAAUAGAUACAAUUGAGAGAUUGUAAAAUGUGACAUAGAAUGAAAGUCUCUCAAGACUACAUUUUUCUUUCUUGAUUUUGCAGGAAAACUAGGUGUCUGUGUUCACUCCAGGCUGAAGUUACAGGUGAGUAAACCUAAAUGUAAGGUGGACUAUGCUAAAAAUUCCCAAUGAAGAAACUUUCACAUGUCUUACUCUCUGUCCUAGUCCCAGAGCCUGUAAAGGUGAACCCACUGGGACUGGCUGGGGGAGAAGAGGAAGAUUUGUUCCAGAAGGAACUGUCUGAGGGAUGAUAAAGAUUUCUAUACAGAGAAAGGGAGUAAUCAUCACUUGUUGAAAACAUUGGUUUUAUUUUUUCCAGGUCUGAGCAAAUAAGGUGUAUAAAAAAUGGAAUCUGUCUUGGAGGACAUCAGAAGGUGAAUUUUCCAAGUUCUUGGACAACCUAGCUGUUGAAAAGCUUUCUGGGUUUGGGGGGUAUUUCAGAUGUACCUUAAAGUGUUAGCAGACACAGAUUAAGACACUGGGAGCCAAUGAAACAGCAGUUGAGGGUUUGCUGUGUAUCACAUUUCUGUAUUUUAUCACCCCCUUCCUGCAACAUUAUUUAUCUGGAAUCUACCUGCCCUUUUGUUUUUUAGAUACAAGGGCUUGGUUUUGUUACCCAGGCUGGUUUCAAGGCCAUAGCUUUAAGAGAUCCUCUCACCACAGAUUUCCAAAGUGCUGGGAUUGCAGGUGUGAUUCAUGGCACCCAGACUUUGCUGCCUUUCUUACAUGAUCCAGGCCCAGAACCCAAACUCAGGCACUGUAUAGAUGACCACUUUCGUAAACUACUGACCUAGCUUGUUGCCAAUUGUUGAUUGAACUUCCCAUAACUCCACUUCGUGUCUGUUCCUCUGUAUACAGCCACCUUCUGUUCCCGUCAUGAGCCUUUAGGUCUCCAUUUGCAUAUUGCAAAUACUAUGUUCCAUGUAGGUAGCUCAUUCAGGGCCUUGCUCUUCACUUCAAAAAAGGUUCCCUUGAGGACUGGCUGUCAAUUUGUGUUGCUGUGUUGGUUGUUGAUGAAAAUAAUAAAAUGAUUGAUUACAUA
rnacentral:sRNA from 1 species